rnacentral:rRNA from 1 species
CUUUUCUCAAGGUUGACCUCGGAUCAGGUAGGGAUACCCGCUGAACUUAAGCAUAUCAAUAAGCGGAGGAAAU